rnacentral:rRNA from 1 species
GAUGAACGCUAGCGGCAGGCCUAAUACAUGCAAGUCGAACGGGAUCCAGAUCAAAGCUUGCUUUGGUCUGGUGAGAGUGGCGCACGGGUGCGUAACGCGUGAGCAACCUACCCUUGUCAGGGGGAUAGCCCGGCGAAAGUCGGAUUAAUACCGCAUGACAUCAUUGAGAGGCAUCUUUCGAUGAUCAAAGAUUUAUCGGACAAGGAUGGGCUCGCGUGACAUUAGCUAGUUGGUAAGGUAACGGCUUACCAAGGCUGCGAUGUCUAGGGGCUCUGAGAGGAGAAUCCCCCACACUGGUACUGAGACACGGACCAGACUCCUACGGGAGGCAGCAGUAAGGAAGAUUGGUCAAUGGACGGAAGUCUGAACCAGCCAUGCCGCGUGCAGGAAGACGGCCCUAUGGGUUGUAAACUGCUUUUAUACGGGAACAAACGUCGGUACGGGUACCGGUCUGAGUGUACCGUAAGAAUAAGGAUCGGCUAACUCCGUG